rnacentral:rRNA from 1 species
AUUGGACGCUGGCGGCAUGCUUUACACAUGCAAGUCGAACGGUAACAGGCCUUCGGGUGCUGACGAGUGGCGAACGGGUGAGUAAUGCAUCGGAACGUACCCAGAGUUGGGGGCUAACGCAGCGAAAGCUGUGCUAAUACCGCAUGUGAUCUGAGGAUGAAAGCGGGGGACCGAGCAGCAAUGUUUGGCCUCGCGCCUUUGGAGCGGCCGAUGUCGGAUUAGCUAGUUGGUAGGGGAAAGGCCUACCAAGGCGACGAUCCGUAGCUGGUCUGUGAGGACGAUCAGGCACACUAGGACUGGGACACGGCCCAGACUCCUACGAGAGGCAGCAGUGGGGAAUGUUGGACAAUGGGCGCAAGCCUGAUCCAGCAAUGCCGCGGGCGGGAAGAAGGCCUUCGGGUUGUAAACCGCUUUUGGCAGGAACGAAACGGUGUCCGCUAAUACCGAGCGCUAAUGACGGUACCUGCAGAAUAAGCACCGGCUAACUACGUG